rnacentral:rRNA from 1 species
UGGGGAAUAUUGGACAAUGGGCGCAAGCCUGAUCCAGCCAUACCGCGUGGGUGAAGAAGGCCUUCGGGUUGUAAAGCCCUUUUGUUGGGAAAGAAAUCCAGCUGGCUAAUACCCGGUUGGGAUGACGGUACCCAAAGAAUAAGCACCGGCUAACUUCGUGCCAGCAGCCGCGGUAAUACGAAGGGUGCAAGCGUUACUCGGAAUUACUGGGCGUAAAGCGUGCGUAGGUGGUCGUUUAAGUCCGUUGUGAAAGCCCUGGGCUCAACCUGGGAACUGCAGUGGAUACUGGGCGACUAGAGUGUGGUAGAGGGUAGCGGAAUUCCUGGUGUAGCAGUGAAAUGCGUAGAGAUCAGGAGGAACAUCCAUGGCGAAGGCAGCUACCUGGACCAACACUGACACUGAGGCACGAAAGCGUGGGGAGCAAACAGGAUUAGAUACCCUGGUAGUCCACGCCCUAAACGAUGCGAACUGGAUGUUGGGUGCAAUUUGGCACGCAGUAUCGAAGCUAACGCGUUAAGUUCGCCGCCUGGGGAGUACGGUCGCAAGACUGAAACUCAAAGGAAUUGACGGGGGUCAUAGCUGUUUUCC